UACGUAGGUGACAAGCGUUGUCCGGAUUUACUGGGCGUAAAGCGCACGUAGGCGGAUUGUUAAGUCGGGGGUGAAAUCCUGGAGCUCAACUCCAGAACUGCCUUCGAUACUGACGAUCUCGAGUCCGGGAGAGGUGAGUGGAACUCCGAGUGUAGAGGUGAAAUUCGUAGAUAUUCGGAAGAACACCAGUGGCGAAGGCGGCUCACUGGCCCGGUACUGACGCUGAGGUGCGAAAGCGUGGGGAGCAAACAGG
rnacentral:rRNA from 1 species